AGUGUGUUUUUAUCCUUGUCUCUUAACCCUAAGACGGAUUAAGUUGGCAGCUGGAAGCAUCUGCUUCUCCGCGGUUUGGUUGCUCCCCCUGGUUGGGUGUCUGUACUCUGUAUAUACCAAGUCUUGACGUCAACGAUGACAUCAUCAAUCCCCUGAUUUUUGAUUUUUUCGUCGUUGUUUUGCUUGCAUAUGCUGUCAAGAAGCGCUUCAUCCCCCGUGAGUUUCUUGAACUUCAUUCAUUCCCCUUUCCCGUCUAGUCCUCCGGACAAGCUUUAACUAAUUCUAAGGUUUUGGGUCGUACGCCAAAGCAAAAAGAAAGCAAAAAGCUUCAGCUUUGAGGCGGUAGUCAUUUUGGCAUCCAAUAGAUGAAUCGUUGUUGGCGGGUUUUCUCUUUCUUUGCCCCCUUUUUUUUUUUUUAUAAGAAACGAUGAAUGUAGAUUGAUAAUAUGGAUCCAAGCACUCAUCUUUCUUUAAUUUUGAGUCACUUCUGUCGAUUGUUCAUUGUUAUAUGCUGGGUCCCGAAUUGUGGUUUAGUUGGUAUGAACAGAAACUUGGAGCUUUUAUGUGAAUUUACAGGAGGCAAUAGUUUAUAAUAUAUGUGCAUACAUUGGAUACUGGUAGUUCGUACAUUAGCAAAAGCUGUUUACUAUAGUGUACAAGUUUCAUCAAGAACUGUAGACAAAAGCAGCAAAAGCUGGUAUGUACAUUAGCAAAAGGUGAUCAUUGACAAAAAUAGGUGACUUUAUGACACUAAACUGAUCUCAAAAGCUGAUGCAAAACAUAGGAAUGGUGCAUGAUUUUAGUCGAUUAUUUGGUGCUUUGGCUGGUCAGUGAUUGUUGCUGGUGGAUCUCUUUUCUUAGUUGCUGUAGCUUGUGCGAUGGUUGGAUUGGUUGUGUCUUUGCUUGAAUCUUCAGUUGCAAUUUGUUGAUCAGGUAGGUUUGAUGAUGAGGCUUCAUUGGUUGCUGGUGCAGGGGUCUGUGUAGGAUCUUCAAUUGGUAGACAAGCGAGGAUGUUGUACUUUGCUACAAUUGUGUUUUGUAGAGGAUGAGU
rnacentral:lncRNA from 1 species